GGAACUAUUUCAGAGCCAGAGGAGGAUAGUGGCGGCGGCGAACUUUGCCCGGUAGAUUUUACUGACUGGGGUGCUGGCGCGCGCCUUUUUCUCGGCCAGAAUCCAGUUAUUGGGAUAGUCUUGACUUCUACCUCAGCCCAACUUCUGUGGUCGUAAUAUUAGUUUAGCUUGGGUUUGCCGUGAAGUAAGAAGACUGACUUCCGCAAAGGUACUGAACGACUGGGUGUAGGUGCCAGGGCAUGGACGUGAAGCUGGAACCGCGAAAUGAGUUAGUUGUGGGCCGCUGGCCUCAAGGAGCGAACGUCAGCGCGAAGAGGAGAAGCUUGUGCAUACGCUCUGAUAAGGGUUUUAAUAGAGGUAUUACCACAGUGCUGCGUGACACGGUUGAGAGAGUGGUCAGAAGAAGCUAAUGAAAGGAAUUGAAGCAGUGCCUUAGGGGAGUAGGAGUACUUUUGGAGAUAGCAAAGGACUUUCUAGGCAAAGUGGAAGUCAAAGCACGGAUGCCUGAAAAUUCAUAGUGUGAUAGUGCAGUGAGUAAUGUAUCUAGAGAAGGGGUCUUAAACCCAGAUGCCUAGACUGGCGAGAGAAAAUAAAUUAUCUUAUGCAAGCUGAGCCUAAACAAAUGGUGGAAGUUACUACGAUGGAUAAGUGAGCAUUAAGUUCAUCUGAAAGGAGAAUUUGAUACCCAAAUCCAACCCAUUUCUCUAGGAGAAUGAGCACCCAGUUUCUGAGAUGUCUUCGUUUCUCAGGAAAAUCCAGAAAUCCUGGGUUUUAUGUGAAACUUAAUUUAUAAGUGUUGCUAACUAAUUAAAAUUCAAAAAUGUCUCAGCAGCGUGGUUUCAGCCAUUGUAGACGGUUUCAGCUUUUUCACACUGGGGUGUGUGUGUGUAUGGGUGAAAACCUGGAAGCUGGCUGAGCUGUAUCCUCUUGUACUUCCUCCUAUCAUUGGUGUUUUUUUGUUUGUUUGAGAUGGAGUUUCACUCUUGUUGCCCAGGUGGAGUGCAAUGGCACAAUCUCGGCUCACUGCAACCUCUGCCUCCGGGUUCAAGCCAUUCUCCUGCCUCAGCCUCCCAAGUAGCUGGGACUACAGGUGCCCGUCCCCACGCCCAGCUAAUUUUUUGUAUUUUUAGUAGAGACGGGGUUUUGCCAUGUUGGCCAGGCUGGUCUUGAACUCCUGACCUCAGAUCCACCCACUUCGGCCUCCCAAAGUGCUGGGAAUACAGGCGUGAGCCACCGUGGCCGGCCCUCAUUGGUUCUUUUAAACUGUACUGCACUUAAAUAUAUAAUUCUCCUAAACACUACUUUUGACUUUUUUUUAGCUUUAUGUGCAUUUCUUGUCUCCCAGACUUAGCAACAGAGACCCUGUCUCCUUUUUAAGAAACAUUAUUGAGCUUCUACUAUAUGUCAAGAACUGUGGUAGGCACUGUAGGGUCAAAAGGAUGGUUAAGAGAAUAUUCCUGACUUCUAAGGGCCCAGGGAGAUUAUAUAAUAUAAUAAGAUUAUAGGUAUUAUAGAGGUAUUCUUAAAAUGUUGAGGGGGUACAGAUGAAAACAAGAUGUAUUCUUCCUGGGGAGUUGGAAAGGUUUCAGAAAGAUCAUAUUUGAGCUAGACCUUUAUUUGAGCAGUUCAGACAAGGAUAGGUUUUUAUUCACCUUUGUAUCACCCAAGGUAAGUGCUGAGAUAACAAUAAGAGCAUGAUCUUGGAAAUCAGACCUGAUUUUAAAUUCUUGCUCUGCCACUUACUUGACAGCAGUCCUAGAACCUAUUGUUUAGCAUCUUUGAGCCUUCAAAAUGGUGGUAACAUCAGCUAUGAAGACUGGAUGAGGAAAAGUAUAUUAUAAAGCAUUUCAAGCAGUGCUUGGCACACACAAUUCAUCAAAUUCAACAUGCUAUUCAUUGUAAGACGCAUCAUUAUUUUAUCUACUACUAAAGAGGAAAAAAUAACUAAUUAAACCAUGACACACCAUUGAUUGUAAGAAGAAUCCCAUUCAGAGAUGUUAAAAUAUGAAAAAAUGAGAAAAUAUGAAAUAUAUUAAUAAGCAGUUAAGUUAUUCCUGUGUAAAUGUUUACAACCAUGGACUGCUAGGAUACACUUCCUUUUCUAGGGUAAUGAUGUCAUGACACUAUGCCCCUUGUUUAAGAACAGUGCUAGAAGUCAGGCGCGGUGGCUCACGCCUGCAAUCCCAGCACUUUGGGAGGCUGAGGCGGGCGGAUCACGAGGUCAGGAGAUUGAGACCAUCCUGGUUAACACGGUGAAACCCCGUCUCUACUAAAAAUACAAAAAAAUUAGCUGGUCGUGGUGGUGGGCGCCUGUAGUCCCAGCUACUCGGGAGGCUGAGGCAGGAGAAUGGCGCGAACCUGGGAGGCGGAGUUUGCAGUGAGCCGAGAUGGCGCCACUGCACUCCAGCCUGGGCGACAGAGCAAGACUCGGUCUCAAAAAAAAAAAAAAAAAAAAAAAAGGAACAGUGCUAGAGACAAGUUCAGAUAACAUCUUUUCUAGAUUCUACUAGUUUUCUUUGUUAUAUUCCCAAAUUCUCUAAGCUCUUAGUUGUACUAUCUAAUUUUUAGAUUUCAAAGCUUUCCCCAUGAGGACUGCUCUCCCAAAGCUCACUGACCUCCUCCAAUCUCUAGUACAAUAGGAAGACUUUUGUCCUGGGACUUAAUUUUACUAUUCUCUUGAAACCACAUUUUUGUUUCUAGUUUAUACUUGAUGUUGUGGUACAUCUUCAAGUAACUUUCUGUGAAAGGUGAAUGGGAGCUAAGCCUGUUCUUACAUUAUUAGUAGAAUUAGUAAUAAUAAUACUGUUGUUGCUUUGGGGUUGUGUUUUGUUUUCUAGAGACAGGGUCUCACUUUGUUGCCCAGGCUCGGUCUCGAACUCCAGGGCUCAAAGCAGUCCUCCUGCUUCAGCCUCCCAAAGUGUUGGGAUUACAGGCAUGAGCCACCAUGCCCAGCCAAUACUGUGCUUCAUUUUUAUUUAUUUAUUUAAUUUAUUUUUGAGAUGGAAUCUCACUCUGUCGCCCACGCUGGAGUGCAGUGGCACAAUUUUAGUUCACUGCAACCUCUGCCUCCCGGGUUCAAGCGAUUCUCCUGCCUUAGCCUCCGGAGUACCUGGGUUUACAGGCAUGCACCACCAUGCCCAGCUAAUUUUUGUAUUUUUAGUAGAGACAGCGUUUCACCUUUUUGGCCAGGCUGGUCUUGAUCUCCUGACCUCAAGUGAUCCACCCACCUCGGUCUCCCAAAGUGCUGGGAUUACAGGCAUGAGCCACCGCGCCCAGCCCAAUACUGUUCUUUAAAUACACAUUUAAUACUAAGCUAGGCAUUGUAAAAGAUUAUAAGAGAAUUAUAAAUACCUGCUUACACUCUGACAUUUGAAACAAUAUGAACUUUACGUUUCAAUUUUAGCCCCACUGCAUGUAAGCUACCUUAUUUUAGCAAGUUACUUAAUUUAUCUGAGCCUCAUUGUUUUAAAUCUGUAAAGUAUAAGUAAAAAUAUCUACCUUCAGGAAUUACCGUGAGGUUUGUAUAGGGUUGGGAACAAAGUUCUGGAGUCAGACUACUUGUAUUCAAAUCCUGGCUUCUCCAUUUAACUAGAUGUGCAGUUUUAGGCAAAUUACUUCACCAUACCAUGCCUUGGUUUUUCUGGAAUGUAAAAUGUCAUAAUAGUAUGUAAAUUUAAAGGAUUUUAUUUUUAAAAAAAUAUGUAAGGAAAGUGUUUAGAAGGUACAUGGUCUGUCUGUGGAUAUACCAGAAUCAAUCUAUUGUGUUCUUUUCCCCAAACUCCAAUAUUCCCUUGUUCUCUUAAUGAGUAGCACCACCAUCUAACUGGUUUUCAAGCCAAAAAUAAGGGAACUAUCUUCAGUAACUCCCUCUUUAUCUCGCGUUUACUUUGCAAGUUCCAUGGAUUUCCCCCUUUUCAUAUCUUUUUACACAUCUUUCAGUCCCCUCUACUACACUUCAAUUCAGUUCAUCAUUAUCUCCACUCGUAUUACAGCUUUCUAACUGGUCUCCAAUUGUAUACCCAAUUUUGUCCCCUUCAGGCCAUUCUUCUCAUUUAGGCAGUAGUGAUCUUUGUCAAAUACAAAGAUGACUGGGUGUGGAAGAUUGGGAAGAAGAAGGAAUUGGGGGGCAGCUCGCAGAUUUUUUUCUUAGAUACCUGAAUGAAUUCAUAUCAGAGAAAACAGGAGAGGAAUCCGGUUUUUAGGAGAAGAUUUUUUUUUUUUCCUACUGGGCUAGCAGGACUAGAUGAAGACCUUCAGAAACCCUGGGCACUGAGAAGAUCAUAAGGUCUCUUCCCAAAUAUAAUUAAAAAUAAAAUACUAAGGUGAAAUAUAUUUUAAUUAUUAUUUUUGAACUUAUUUUUUCCAAAUGUUUUCCCUCGAGUCUGUGCAUGUGUGCCCUAAAUACAUGUUUCAUCGGCUAGUUGGAUAAUCCUGUACUGUUGUGUUUUCUUUUAGAGAUGGAAUCUCGCUGUGUCACCCAGGCUGGAAUGCAGUGACUCGAUCAUAACUCACUAUGACCUCGAACUCCCAGGCUAAAGCAGUCCUCAAGCAAUCCUUCCACCUCAGCCUUCUGAGUAGCUGGGAGUAGCUGAUUAACUAAUGCGUGUCACCACGCCCAGCUAAUUUGUGUAUGUGUGUGCACAGGUGUAGAGCUAGGGGUCUUGCUAUGUUGCUCAGGCUAGUCUUGAACUCCUGGCCUCAAGCAGUCUUGUCUUGACCUCUCAAACCAGUGGGACUGUAGGUGUGAGCCAUUGCUCCUGGCUGAGCACUGUUUUUUUUAGGACAGACUGUAUUCAUUGUUGCAAUCUUCAGCUUUUGGAACAUCGUCUAGGACAGAGAAGCUGCACAAUAUGUAUUUAUCGAAUGAGUGAAUGAUACUUUUGGGAGAGAAGACAGUGGGUUGGAGAAAUAUCUUGGAAGAAUUGGAAAUUUUAGGUGGACCUUGAAGAAAGGGUAAAAUUCAAUUAGGACACAAGCAGUGAUCAAAAGCAUUGAGUUGGGAACAAAGUGGUAGGAUGUGGGAGUUAGUAUAUAGUAAAAACAACUAAAAUAUAGAAAGAGAUUAUGUGUUUAAUAGAAAUAGGAUUGACUAAAGUGAAUCCACGUUGUAUCUGUAAGAGGUCCAUCGUUGAACUUUAUUUUUUUUUGUUUUGUUUUUGAGACAGGGUCUCACUCUGUUAUCUAGGCUGGAGUGCGGUGGCACAAUCUCAGCUCACUGCAGCCUCAGCCUCCCAGGUUCAAGUGAUUCUCCUGCUUCAGCCUCCCAUAUAGGGAUUACAGGCCUGCACCACCACACCUGGCUAAUUUUUGUAUUUUUAGUACAGACGGGAUUUCACCAUGUUGGCCAGGCUGGUCUCGAACUCCUGACUUCAAGUGAUCCACCCGCCUCGGCCUUCCAGAGUGCUGGGAUUACAGGCCUGAGCCACUGCACCCAGCCACCUGUAUUUAUUUUUGAGACAGGGUCUUGUUCUGUCGCCUUGGCUGGAGUGCAGUGGUGCAAUCAUGGCUCACUGCAGCCUUGACUUCCCAGGCUCAAUGAAUAGCUGGGACUACAGGUGUGCACCACCAUACCCGGCUAAUUUUUGUAUUUUUUGUAGAGAUGGUGUUUCGCCAUCUUGCCCAAGCUGGUCUCAAACUCCUGGCCUCAAGUGAUCCACCCGUCUAGGCCUCCUACAGUGCUGGGAUUACAGGGUUGAGCCACCACACCCAGCCUCAUGGUUGAAUUUUAGGAGAGCCGUACAUCUCCUCCUGAUAAUACAUGCAAAACUUCAUGUGUCCAUUUUUUUCUGAGUUGAAGUUUCAUAGUUUUCAUCCAAUUCUCAAAGGUGUUUAUAAACCAAUAAAGGUUAAGAAUCAUGUUGUGCAUUUGAAAGACUAAUAGAAAGGCUUAAGCUUAAUGCUGUAGCAAAUUAGUCUUCAAAAGUUUUCUACCAUAGCAUUCAUUAGGAACAGAAGAGGGGGAAUGAGACCCUAAGAUUUAGAGAUGAAGUCUGAAACUUAGGACUUUAUAUUUAUCUGAACAUCAUAUGUAAAUUUUACUAUUAUGGGACUGGUAUUAAUGCUUCCUUAUAAAAAUAUAUUUAGCCUCAUCAGUGAUCAGGGAACCAUAUUUGGGACCAGUCUGUUCAGUUGGCAAAAAUUAAAAAGGCCAUCAUAUCAGAAAGGAGAAGGUAAAAUGAUUUGUUCACAGACAGCAUGAUCUUUUAUGUACAAAACCCUAAAGAUUCCACCCAAAAAACCCUGUUAGAACUAAAAAACAAAGUUGCAGGAUGCAAAACCACACAAAAUUUAGUUGCAUUUCGAUGUAAAAUUUAAAAAGGAAAUCUUAAAAAUUCCAUUUGCAACAGCAUCAGAACUAAAAUACUUGUGAAUAAAUUUAACCAAAGAGGCAAGACUUGUACACUGACAACUACAAACAUUGCUGAAGCAAAUUAAAGAAUAUAGAAAUAAGUGGAAUGACGCACUGUGUUCAUAGAUUGAAACAGUUAAUAUUAAGAUGUUGAUACUACUCAAAGUGAUCUACAGAUUCAUUAGGUAAUCCCUGUCAAAAUCCCAGUGACUUUUUUUCAGAAAUAGAAAAAUUCAUCCUAAAAUGUAUAUGAAAACUCAGAGUACCCCAAAUAGCCAAACAAUUUUGCAAGAGAACAAAGUUGAAGGUCUCAUGCUUCCUGAUUUCAAAAUUUAACUAUAAAGCUACAGUAAUCAAAACACUGUAGUCCUAGCAUAAAGACAGACAUAUAGAAUAAAGAACCCAGAACUAAACCCUCACAUAUAUGGUCAAUUGAUUUUUGACAAGGUUGUCAAGACCAGUCAAUCAAUGGAGAAAGGAUAUCCAGUUUUCUCCAUUUUUACAUGUGGAUAUCCAGUUUUCCCAACACCAUGUAUUUAAAAGAUAAAUAACCUAAAUGAUAAAUCUAAAUGUCUAAAAAAUAAAUAAUCUAAAAAUAUCCAGUUUUUUUGGGGUCAGGUGCAGUGGCUUACGCCUGUAAUCCCAACACUUCGGGAGGCCGAGGUGGGCAGAUCACUUGAGGUCAGGAGUUCGAGACUAGCCUGGCCAACAUGGUGAAACCCCAUCUCUACUAUAAAUGCAAAAAUUAUCUGGGUGUGGUAGCGGGCACCUGUAAUCCCAGCUACUUGAGAGCCAGAGGCUCGAGAAUCGCUUGAACCCGAGAGGCUGAGGUUGCAGUGAGCCAAGAUCGUGCCACUGCAUUCCAGUUGGGGUGACAGAGCGAGACUGAGUCAAAAAAAAAAAAAAUCCAGUUUUCCCAACAGCAUUUAUCUUUUCAAUAAAUGGUGUAUUUUGCAUGUGGAUAAUCCAGUUUUCCCAACACGAUUUAUCUUUAAGAUAGCCACAUGCAAAAUUAACUCAAAAUGGAUCAAAGACUUAAAUGAAAGUGCUAAAACUCUUAGAUGAAAACAGGAAAACCUUCAUGACAUUGGAUUUGGCAAUGAUUUAUUGAAUAUAACACCAGAAGCAAAGGCAACAAAAAAUAAAUUGGACUUUAUCAAAAUUAAAAAUGUUUAUUCAUCAAAGGACACAACAGAGUGAAAAGGAAACUCAUGGAAUGGGAGAAAUAUUUACAAAGCAUAUAUCUGGUAAGGGAUUAAAAUCCAUUAUAAAUACAUUUUAAAAUCCUUCAACUCACCAAAUAAAAUCCCAAUUCAAAAAUGGGCAAAGGACUUAAACAAAGGUUUCUCCAAAGAAGAUAAGCAAAUGGCUGAUAAGCCCAUGAAAAGAUGGUCAACAUAACUAACUAGGGAAUUGCAAAACAAACCACUUCACACUCAUUAGGAUGGCAGUUAUUUAAAAAAAAACAAAACAGGGCCAGGUGCAGUGGCUCAUGCCUGUAAUCCCAGCACUUUGGGAGGCCGAGGCGGGUGUAUCACGAGGUUGGGAGUUCAAGACCAGCAUGAACAACAUGGUGAAACCCUGUCUGUACUAAAAAUACAAAAAUUAGGUGUGGUGGCGUAUGCCUGUAAUCCCAGCUUCUCAGGAAGCUGAAGCAGGAGAAUCACUUGAACACAGGAGGUGGAGGUUGCAGUGAGCCGAGAUCAUGCCACUGCACUCUAGCCUGGGCGACAGACCGAGACUCCAUCUCAAAAAAAAAAAAAAAAGUAUUAGUGAGGAAGUGAAGAAAGUCAACCCCUUAUGCAUUGCUGGGAUGAAUAUAAAAUGAUACAGUCGGGAUGGGAAAUCAGUAUGGUUGUUCCUCAAAAAAUUAAACCUAAGGUUGGGCACAGUGGCUCACGCUUGUAAUCCCUGCACUUCGGGAGGCUGAGGCAGGUGGAUCUUGUGAGCCCAAAAGUUUGAGAUCAUCCUGGGCAACAUGGCAAAACCCUGUCUCUAGAAAAAGUACAAAAAUUAGCCAGGUGUAAUAGUACAUGCCUGUAGUUCCAGCUACUCAGGAGGCUGAGGUGGGAGGAUCACCUGUGCCCAGGAGGUUGAGGCUGCAGUGAGCCAUGAGCAUGCCACUGCACUAAAUAAAGAAUUACCAUAGGAUCCAGCAAUUCCACUUCUAGUAUCUACCAAAAGAAUUGAAAGCAGGGACUUCAAAAGAUAUUUAUAUAUCCAUGUUCAUGGCAGCAUUAUUCACAGUAGCCAAAAGGUGGAAGUAUCCCAAGGGUCCAUCAAUGGAUGAAUGGAUAAAAUAAUAUGGUAUAUACAUACAAUGGGAUAUCAUUCUGCCUUGAGAAAUUCUGACAUGUGUUAUAACAUGGAUGAACUUUGAAGAUACACUAAGUGAGAUAAGCUAGCCACAAAAGAACAAAUAGUGUAUGAUUUCUCUAAUACCAGAAGUAAACCAAAAGUAUCCAAGACAGGUCUCAAUCCAUUUAGGAAGUUUAUUUUGACAGGGUUAAGGAUGUACCUGUAAUACAGCCUCAAGUGGUCCCAAGGUGGUCGGGGUACAGCUUGCUUUUAUACGUUUUAGAGAGUCAUGAGACAUCAAUCAAUACAUGUAAGAUGUACAUUGGUUUAAUCUGGAAAGGCAGGAACACUUGAAACUGGGGCUUCCAGGUCAUAGGUAGAUUAAAAAAAUUUUUUUAUUAUACUUUUAGGGUACAUGUGCACAACAUGCAGGUUUGUUACAUAUGUAUACAUGUGCCAUGUUGGUGUGCUGCACCCAUUAACUCGUCAUUUAACAUUAGGUAUAUCUCCCAAUGCUAUCCCUCCCCCUCCCCCCACCCCACAACAGGCCCCAGUGUGUGAUGUUCCCCUUCCCCUGUCCAUGUGUUCUCAUUGUUCAAUUCCCACCUAUGAGUGAGAACAUGUGGUGUUUGGUUUUUUAUCCUUGCGAUAGUUUGCUGAGAAUGAUGGUUUCCAGCUUCAUCCAUGUCCCUACAAAGGACAUGAACUCAUCAUUUUUUAUGGCUGCAUAGUAUUCCAUGGUGUAUAUGUGCCACAUUUUCUUAAUCCAGUCUAUCAUUGUUGGACAUUUGGAUUGGUUCCAAGUCUUUGCUAUUGUGAAUAGUGCCACAAUAAACAUACGUGUGCACGUGUCUUUAUAGCAGCAUGUUUUAUAAUCCUUUGGGUAUAUACCCAGUAAUAGGAUGGCUGGGUCAAAUGGUAUUUCUAGUUCUAGAUCCCUGAAGAAUCACCACACUGACUUCCACAAUGGUUGAACUAGAGUCCCACCAACGUGUAAAAGUGUUCCUAUUUCUCCACAUCCUCUCCAGCACCAGUUGUUUCCUGACUUUUUAAUGAUCGCCAUUCUAACUGGUGUGAGAUGGUAUUUCAUUGUGGGUUUGAUUUGCAUUUCUCUGAUGGCCAGUGAUGAUGAGCAUUUUUUCAUGUGUCUAUUGGUUGCAUAAAUGUCUUCUUUUGAGAAGUGUCUGUUCAUAUCCUUCUCCCACUUUUUGAUGGGGUUGUUUGUUUUUUUCUUGUAAACUUGUUGGAGUUCAUUGUAGAUUCUGGAUAUUAGCCCUUUGUCAGAUAAGUAGAUUGCAAAAAUCUUCUCCCAUUCUGUAGGUUGCCUGUUCACUCUGAUGGUAGUUUCUUUUGCUGUGCAGAAGCUCUUUAGUUUAAUUAGAUCCCAUUUAUCUAGUUUGGCUUUUGUUGCCAUUGCUUUUGGUGUUUUAGACAUGAAGUCCUUGCCCAUGCCUAUGUCCUGAAUGGUAUUGCCUAGGUUUUCUUCUAGGGUUUUUAUGGUUUCAGGUCUAACAUUUAAGUCUUUAGUCCAUCUUGAAUUAAUUUUUGUGUAAGGUGUAAGGAAGGGAUCCAGUUUCAGCUUUCUACAUAUGGCUAGCCAGUUUUCCCAGCACCAUUUAUAAAAUAGGGAAUCCUUUCCCCAUUUCUUAUUUUUGUCAGGUUUGUCAAAGAUCAGAUGGUUGUAGAUAUGUGGCAUUAUUUCUGAGGGCUCUGUUCUGUUCCAUUGGUCUACAUCUCUGUUUUGGUACCAGUACCAUGCUGUUUUCGUUACUGUAGCCUUGUAGUAUAGUUUGAAGUCAGGUAGCGUGAUGCCUCCAGCUUUGUUCUUUUGGCUUAGGAUUGUCUUGGCAAUGCAGGCUCUUUUUUGGUUGCAUAUGAACUUUAAAGUAGUUUUUUCCAAUUCUGUGAAGAAAGUCAUUGGUAGCUUGAUGGGGAUGGCAUUGAAUCUAUAAAUUACCUUGGGCAGUAUGGCCAUUUUCACGAUAUUGAUUCUUCCUACCCAUGAGCAUGGAAUGUUCUUCAUUUGUUUGUAUCCUCUUUUAUUUCAUCGAGCAGUGAUUUGUAGUUCUCCUUGAAGAGGUCCUUCACAUCACUUGUAAGUUGGAUUCCUGGGUAUUUUAUUCUCUUUGAAGCAAUUGUGAAUGGGAGUUCACUCAUGAUUUGGCUCUGUGUUUGUCUGUUAUUGGUGUAUAAGAAUGCUUGUGAUUUUUGCACAUUGAUUUUGUAUCCUGAGACUUUGCUGAAGUCGCCUAUCAGCUUAAGGAGAUUUUGGGCUGAGACAAUGGGGUUUUCUAGAUAUACAAUCAUGUCAUCUGCAAACAGGGACAAUUUGACUUCCUCUUUUCCUAAUUGAAUACCCUUUAUUUCCUUCUCCUGCCUGAUUGCCCUGGCCAGAACUUCCAACACUAUGUUGAAUAGGAGUGGUGAGAGAGGACAUCCCUGUCUUGUGCCAGUUUUCAAAGGGAAUGCUUCCAGUUUUUGCCCAUUCAGUAUGAUAUUGGCUGUGGGUUUAUCAUAGAUAGCUCUUAUUAUUUUGAGAUAUGUCCCAUCAAUACCUAAUUUAUUGAGAGUUUUUAGCAUGAAGAGUUGUUGAAUUUUGUCAAAGGCCUUUUCUGCAUCUAUUGAGAUAAUCAUGUGGUUUUUGUCAUUGGUUCUCUUUAUAUUAUGGAUUACGUUUAUUGAUUUGUGUACAUUGAACCAGUCUUGCAUCCCAGGGAUGAAGCCCACUUGAUCAUGGUGGAUAAGCUUUUUGAUGUGCUGCUGGAUUCGGUUUGCCAGUAUUUUAUCGAGGACAUUUGCAUCGAUGUUCAUCAGGGAUAUUGGUCUAAAAUUCUCUUUUUUCAUUGUGUCUCUGCCAGGCUUUGGUAUCAGGAUGAUGCUGGCAUCAUACAAUGAGUUAGGGAGGUUUCCCUCUUUUUCUAUUGAUUGGAAUAGUUUCGGAAGGAAUGGUACCAACUCCUCCUUGUACCUCUGGUAGAAUUCGGCUGUGAAUCCAUCUGGUCCUGGACUUUUUUUGGUUGGUAAGCUAUUAAUUAUUGCAUCAAUUUCAGAGCCUGUUAUUGGUGUAUUCAGAGAUUCAACUUCUUCCUGGUUUAGUCUUGGGAGGGUGUAUAUGUCGAGGAAUUUAUCCAUUUCUUCUAGAUUUUCUAGUUGAUUUGUGUAGAGGUGUUUAUAAUAUUCUCUGAUGGUAGUUUCUAUUUCUGUGGGAUCGGUGGUGAUAUCCCCUUUAUCAUUUUUUUAUUGCGUCUAUUUGAUUCUUCUCUCUUUUCUUCUUUAUUAGUCUUGCUGGUAGUCUAUCAAUUUUGUUGAUCUUUUCAAAAAACCAGCUCCUGGAUUGAUUGAUUUUUUGAAGGGUUUUUUGUGUCUCUAUUUCCUUCAGUUCUGCUCUGAUCUUAGUUAUUUCUUGCCUUCUGGUAGCUUUUGAAUGUGUUUGCUCUUGCUUCUCUAGUUCUUUUAAUUGUGAUGUUAGGGUGUCAAUUUUAGCUCUUUCCUGCUUUCUCUUGUGGGCAUUUAGUGCUAUAAAUUUCCCUCUACACACUGCUUUGAAUGUGUCCCAGAGAUUCUAGUAUGUUGUGUCUUUGUUCUUGUUGGUUUCAAAGAAUAUCUUUAUUUCUGCCUUCAUUUUGUUAUGUACCCAGUAGUCAUUCAGGAGCAGGUUGUUCAGUUUCCAUGUAGUUGAGUGGUUUUGAGUGAGUUUCUUAAUCCUGAGUUCUAGUUUGAUUGCACUGUGGUCUGAGAGACAGUUUUUUAUAAUUUCUGUUCUUUUACAUUUGCUGAGGAAUAAGUAUGGUGUGAUGCUGAAAAGAAUGUAUAUUCUGUUGAUUUGGGGUGGAGAGUUCUGUAGAUGUCUAUUAGGUCUGCUUGGUGCAGAGCUGAGUUCAAUUGCUGGAUAUCCUUGUUAACUUUCUGUCUCGUUGAUCUGUCUAAUGUUGACAGUGGGGUGUUAAAGUCUCCCAUUAUUAUUGUGUAGGAGUCUAAGUCUCUUUGUAGGUCUCUAAGGACUUGCUUUAUGAAUCUGGGUGAUCCUGUAUUGGUUGCAUAUAUAUUUAGGAUAGUUAGCUCUUCUCGUUGAAUUGAUCCCUUUACCAUUAUGUAAUGGCCUUCUUUGUCUCUUUUGAUCUUUGUUGGUUUAAAGUCUGUUUUAUCAGAGACUAGGAUUGCAACCACUGCCUUUUUUUGUUUUCCAUUUGCUUGGUAGAUCUUCCUCCAUCCCUUUAUUUUGAGCCUAUAUGUGUCUCUGCAGAUGAGAUGGGUUUCCUGAAUACAGCACACUGAUGGGUCUUGACUCUUUAUCCAAUUUGCCAGUCUGUGUUUUUUAAUUGGAGCAUUUAGCCCAUUUACAUUUAAGGUUAAUAUUGUUAUGUGUGAAUUUGAUCCUGUCAUGAUGAUGUUAGCUGGUUAUUUUGCUCGUUAGUUGAUGCAGUUUCUUCCUAGCCUCGAUGGUCUUUACAAUUUGACAUGAUUUUGCAGUGGCUGGUACUGGUUGUUCCUUUCCAUGUUUAGUGCUUCCUUCAGGAGCUCUUUUAGAGCAGGCCUUGUGGUGACAAAAUCUCUCAGCAUUUGCUUGUCUGUAAAGGAUUUUAUUUCUCCUUCACUUAUGAAGCUGAGUUUGGCUGGAUAUGAAAUUCUGGGUUGAAAAUUCUUUUCUUUAAGAAUGUUGAAUAUUGGCCCCCACUCCCUUCUGGCUUGUAGAGUUUCUGCCAAGAGAUCAGUUAUUAGUCUGAUGGGCUUCCCUUUGUGGGUAACCUGACCUUUCUCUCUGGCUGCCCUUAACAUUUUUUCCUUUAUUUCAACUUUGGUGAAUCUGACAAUUAUGUGUCUGGGAGUUGCUCUUCUCAAGGAGUAUCUCUGUGGCGUUCUCCGUAUUUCCUGAAUCUGAAUGUUGGCCUGCCUUGCUAGAUUGGGGAAGUUCUCCUGGAUAAUAUCCUGCAGUGUUUUCCAACUUGGUUCCAUUCUCCCCGUCACUUUCAGGUACACCAAUCAGACGUAGAUUUGGUCUUUUCACAUAGUCCCAUAUUUCUUGGAGGCUUUGUUCGUUUCUUUUUAUUCUUUUUUCUCUAAACUUCCCUUCUUGCUUCAUUUCAUUCAUUUCAUCUUCCAUCACUGAUACCCUUUCUUCCAGUUGAUCGAAUCGGCUACUGAGGCUUGUACAUUCAUCACGUAGUUUUCUUGCCUUGGUUUUCAGCUCCAUCAGGGCCUUUAAGGACUUCUCUGCAUUGGUUAUUCUAGUUAGCCAUUCGUCUAAUUUUUUUUUUCAAGGUUUUUAACUUCUUUGCCGUGGGUUCGAACUUCCUCCUUUAGCUCAGAGUAGUUCAAUUGUCCGAAGCCUUCUUCUCUCAACUCGUCAAAGUCAUUCUCCGUCCAGCUUAGUUCCGUUGCUGGUGAGGAGCUGCAUUCCUUUGGAGGAGGAGAGGUGCUCUGAUUUUUAGAGUUUCCAGUUUUUCUGCUGUUUUUUCCCCAUCUUUGUGGUUUUAUCGAGCUUUGGUCUUUGAUGAUGGUGACGUACAGAUGGGGUUUUGGUGUGGAUGUCCUUUCUGUUUGUUAGUUUUCCUUCUAAAAGUCAGGACCCUCAGCUGCAGGUAUGUUGCAGUUUGCUGGAGGUCCAUUCCAGACCCUGUUUGCCUGGGUAUCAGUAGCAGGGGCUGCAGAACAGCAGAUAUUGGUGAACAGCAAAUGUUGCUGCCUGAUCGUUCCUCUGGAAGUUUUGUCUCAGAGGAGUACCCGGCCAUGUGAGGUGUCAGUCUGCCUCUACUGGGGGAUGCCUCCCAGUUAGGCUACUCGGCGGUCAGGGACUCACUUGAGGAGUCAGUCUGUCCAUUCUCAGAUCUUCAGCUGCAUGCUGGGAGAACCACUACUCUCUUCAAAGCUGUCAGACAGGGACAUUUAAGUCUGCAGAGGAUUCUGCUGCCUUUUGUUUGGCUAUGCCCUGCCCCCAGAGGUGGAGUCUACAGAUGCAGGCAAGCCUCUUUGAGCUGCGGUGGGCUCCACCCAGUUCGAGCUUCCUGGCCGCUUUAUUUACCUACUCAAGCCUCGGCAAUGGCGGGCACCCCUCCCCCAGCCUCGCUGCUGCCUUGCAGUUUGAUCUUAGACUGCUGUGCUAGCAAUGAGCAAGGCUCCACGGGCGUAGGACCCUCCGAGCCAUGCACGGGAUAUAAUCUCCUGGUGUGCCGUUUGCUAAGACCAUUGGAAAAGUGCAGUAUUAGGGUGGGAGUGACCUGAUUUUCCAGGUGCUGUCUAUCAUCCCUUUCUUUGACUAGGAAAGGGAAUUCCCUGACCCCUUGCGCUUCCUGGGUGAGGCGAUGCCUUGCCCUGCUUUGGCUCACGCUUGGUGCGCUGCACCCACUGUCCUGCACCCACUGUCUGACACUCCUCAGUGAGAUGAACCCGGCACCUCAGUUGGAAAUGCAGAAAUCACCCAUCUUCUGCGUUGCUCACGCUGGGAGCUGUAGACUGGAGCUGUUCCUAUUUGGCCAUCUUGGCUCCUCCUCAUUUUAAAAUGUUCUGAUCAGCAGUUGGUUGAAAGAGUUAUCAAUGAGUGUCUGGGUUACAGUAAGAAGUUGUAGAGACCAAGGUUUUAUCAUGCAGAUGAAGCCUCCAGGUGGCAGGCUUCACAGAGAAUAGACUGUAAAUAUUUCUUAUCAGACUUUAAGAGUCUGUUCUGUCAGUAAUUCCAAAAGAGAGGAGGGUAUAAUUAGGCAUAUCCAGCUCCCUGCUUCCAUAAUGACCUGAGCUAGUUUUUCAAGUUCACUUUGGAAUGCCCUUGGCCGAGAGAAGGCUUCCAUUCUGAUAGUGUGGGUUGGGGGGAAGAGGGGAUGGUGCUUAUAAUUUUAUUUUUGGUUUAAACAGGUAUCUAGAGUAGUCAUAUCCAUCAGGACAAAAAAUAGAAUGAUGGUUUCCUAGGCUGGAGGAGGGGAGAAUUGAGAGAUAUUUUUAGAUACAGAUUUAUUUUAUUUUAUUUUAUUUUAUUUUUUUGAGAUGGUAUCUCACUCUGUUGCCCAGGUUGGAGUGCAGUGGUGUAAUCUCAGCUCACUGCAACCUCCACUUCCUAGGUUCAAACUAUUGUCCCACCUCAGCUUCCCGAGUAGCUGGGAUUACAGGCAUGCGCCACCAUAUCCAGCUAGUUUUUGUAUUUUUAGUGGAGAUGGGGUUUCACCAUGUUGGCCAGGCUGGUCAUGAACUGCCGACCUCUGAUGAUCUGCCCACCUCGGCCUCCCAAAAUGUUGGGAUUACAGGUGUGAGCCACUGCGCCCAGCCUAGAUACAGAAUUUCAGUUGAAGAAGAUAAGUUCUAGAGAUGGAUGGUGGUAAUGGUUGUACAGCAGUGUGCAUGUACUGAAUGUCUCUGAACUAUAUACUUAAAAAUGUUUAAAAUGGUAAACCUGAUAUAUAUAUGUUAAAGAAAUGUUUAAAGUUGGCCCAUAUCUGGAGGAUACAGAUCAUCAGAAUAUCUUAAUCAUUGCUGGUGGGAGUGUAAAUUGGUAUAGCGCUUUUGGAACAAUUUGGCGUUAUCCUGUAAAGAUAAACAUUUCCAUGCCCUUUGACCUGCCAUUUUGCUCCUAGGCAUAUACAUAAAAGAAACUUUGUUUUUUUUUUUGAGACAGAGUUUGCUCUGUUGUCCAGGCUCAAGUAAAGUGGCACAAUCACAGCUCACUGCAUCCUUGAUCUUCUGGCCUCCAGCUAUCCUCCCACUUCACCCUGCUAGUAGCUGGGACUACAGGUGCAUGCCACCAUGCCCAGCAAAUUUUUUUUUGUUUUUUUUUGGUAGAGGCAGGGUUUCACUAUUGUAUUAGUUCAUUUUUACGCUGCUGAUAAAAACAUAACCGAAACUAAAACCAAAAAGAGGUUUAAUUGGACUUACAGUUCCACGUGGCUGGGGAGGCCUCAGAAUCUUGGUGGGAGGCAAAAAGCACUUCUUUUUUUUUUUUUUUUUUUUUUUUUUGAGACGGAGUCUCACUCUGUCACCAGGCUGGAGUGCAGUGGCGUGAUCUCGGCUCACUGCAACCUCUGCCUCCUGGGUUCAAGUGAUUCUUCUGCCUCAACCUUCCAAGUAGCUGGGACAACAGGCGCACGCCAUCAUGCCCAACUAAUUUUUGUAUUUUUAGUAGAGAUGGGGUUUCAUCAUGAUGGCCAGGCUGGUCUCCAUCUCCUGACCUUGUGAUCUGCCCACCUUGGCCUCCCAAAGUGCUGGGAUUACAGGCCUGAGCCACCAGGCCUGGUCAAAGGCAUUUCUUAAUGGCAGUGGCAAGAGAUAAAUGAGGAAGAAGUAAAAGCGGAAACACCUGAUAAAACCAUCAGAUCUCGUGAGAUUUACUAUCACGAGAAUAGCACAGAAAAGACCAGCCCCCAUGAUUCAGUUACCUCCCCUUGGGUCCCUCCCACGACACGGGGGAAUUCUGGGAGAUACAAUUCAAGUUGAGAUUUGGGUGGGGACACAGCCAAACCAUAUCAACUAUCUUGUCCAAGCUGGUCUUGAACUCCUGGGCUCAAGCGAUCAUCCUGCCUCAGCCUCCCAAAGUGCUGGGAUUAUAGGAAUAAGCCACUGCCCCCAGUUCAAAAAAACUUUUUAACGAGUAUCAGGUCAUGCAUACAAGAGUGUUCAUGUGAGCACUCUUUUUAAUACCAAAACCUGAAAACAACCCAAAUGCCCAUUAACAGGCAAGGGAAUAGACAAAUUAAUUAGAAGCUCCUGGAGGACAGGGACCACCUCUACAAAAAAUAAAAAAUCAGUACCUUCCCCAUCUCACACAGUGUCCCAGGACCCUGCAGGGCAGUGGAGGUGCACCCAUAAAUAAAUAAGGAUAUAUUUAUAUCCACUCCAAGUGAAUGUACCAUAAUUAUAUGCCAUAAUGUGGAUUAAUCCUAGCAAUAUAGUAUUAAGUGAAAAGCAUAUGUCCUUAAAGAUUACAUAUAAAGUUAAUAACAUCUAAACACUCCCUCCCCCCAAAAAAACCCCACUCUUUUUGAAUAUAUUUACAUGUGACAUUAAAAGGGAAAACAGAAUGAUUUCAGUAGUGUUACCUUGGAAUGGGGAAGAGGCUGGGUGAUACAACUGAAGAUCAAACAGGUGAAUAUGAAUGGAAAUUCAUUUCCUAGUUUUCAUGUUGGUGAUAAUGUCAAGUGUAUUUGUUGUAUUAUUUUAAAUGAAUGAAUGAAUGAAUGAAGGAUUGAGGGUCUUGAAUGCACCAACAAUGAGAAUGUGUCAUGAGUCGAGAAUAAUGAUGUAUCUAAUUCUAUGCAUCUGUGCAUCUGAAGGGGCCUUAGAAAAUGCAUUCUGUAUCUGUUUGAUAUAAAUAAGGGGAAGAUGGUGGGGGGGGGAGUGAUGUUUUAAAUUACUCAGCAUCAAAUAAAAUGGAUACUCUGGAAAAAUGUGUCACAUUUCUCCUGUGGUUUCUAGUACCCUCUGACCAAUUGCCACUUUUGCCUGGGCAUUUAAGCAUCCCAAUUUUAGGAGACUGGUGAUAGUGGAAAGUCAGUGAAACAUCUUAAGCUUGCAUAAGAAUUUUGCAAAACAAGCAGUGUUUCUUUUUUAAAAAAAAAAUUAGUCUGGAAGCCUUAUAUCAGAUAGAUUCAUUUGGGAGAGAGAUCACAUUCAGGGAAACCAACUAUUAGGCUGUCACUAUAACACAAUUUUUAGUGAGGAAUCCCUUGACCAAGUAAGUAGUAUCAGCAGAAAUUAAGAAGAAAGAGCAAAUCCAAGAGCAUUGGUGGUUCAUAGAAUUAAAGAUAUUGUGGUUCUUAGAAU
rnacentral:lncRNA from 1 species